GGGGAUUUAGCUCAGUGGCAGAGCGCUUGCCUAGCAAGUGCAAGGCCCUGGGUUCAGUCCCCA
rnacentral:tRNA from 1 species